rnacentral:rRNA from 1 species
AGUCCCCUGGAACGGGGCGCCACAGAGGGUGAGAGCCCCGUAUAGUUGGACGCCUAGCCUGUGUAGAGCUCCUUCCACGAGUCGAGUAGUUUGGGAAUGCUGCUCAAAAUGGGAGGUAAAUUUCUUCUAAAGCUAAAUACCAGCCAGAGACCGAUAGCGCACAAGUAGAGUGAUCGAAAGAUGAAAAGCACUUUGAAAAGAGGGUUAAACAGCACGUGAAAUUGUUGAAAGGGAAGCGCUUGUGACCAGACUCGCGCCGGGCUGAUCAUCCGGUGUUCUCACCGGUGCACUCUGCCCGGCUCGGGCCAGCAUCGGUUCCUGCGGGGGGAUAAAGGCUCCGGGAACGUAGCUCCUCCGGGAGUGUUAUAGCCCGGGGCGCAAUGCCCCCGCGGGGACCGAGGACCGCGCUCUGCAAGGAUGCUGGCGUAAUGGUCACCAGCGACCCGUCUU